AUUGAACGCUGGCGGCAUGCUUUACACAUGCAAGUCGAACGGUAACAGGGUGCUUGCACCGCUGACGAGUGGCGAACGGGUGAGUAAUGCGUCGGAACGUGCCGAGUAGUGGGGGAUAACGCAGCGAAAGCUGUGCUAAUACCGCAUACGUACUGAGGUAGAAAGUGGGGGACCUUCGGGCCUCAGGCGAUUCCAGCGGCCGACUUCUGAUUAGCGGGUAGGGGAGGUAGAGGCUAACCUAGGCGACGAUCAGUAGCGGGUCUGGGAGGACGAUCCGCCACACUGGGGCUGAGACACGGCCCAGACUCCUACGGGAGGCAGCAGUGGGGAAUUUUGGACAAUGGGCGAAAGCCUGAUCCAGCCAUGCCGCGUGUCUGAAGAAGGCCUUCGGGUUGUAAAGGACUUUUGUCAGGGAGGAAAUCCCUAGUGCUAAUAACACUGGGGGAUGACAGUACCUGAAGAAUAAGCACCGGCUAACUACGUGCCAGCCGCCGCCGUAA
rnacentral:rRNA from 1 species